rnacentral:rRNA from 1 species
GUAGUAGCUAACGCGUAACCGCCUGGGGAGUACGGCCGCAAGGUUAAACUCAAAGGAAUUGACGGGGCCCGCACAAGCGGUGGAAUGUGGUUAAUUCGAGCAACGCGAAAACCUUACCUGGUCUUGACAUGUCCGAACUCCAGAGAUGCAGUCCCUUAAGGGACCGUAACACAGGUGGUGCAUGGUGUGUCAGCUCGUGUCGUGAGAUGUUGGGUUAAGUCCCGCAACGAGCGCAACCCUCUUAGUUGCCACAUUAGUUGGGCACUCUAGGACUGCCGGUGACAAACCGGAGGAAGGUGGGGAUGACGUCAAGUCUCAUGCCCUUAUGACCGGGCUCACACGUUACAAUGGUCGGUACAAGGGAGCCACCGCGAGGUGGAGCCAAUCCAUAAACCGUCGAGUCGGAUCGCAUCUGCAACUCGUGCUGAAGUCGGAAUCGCUAGUA